GUCGAACGCUGGCGGCGUGCUUAAUACAUGCAAGUCGAACGCAGGGGGGACGGGUGAGUAACACGUGGGUAACCUCCCAUCAGACGGGAUAACACUUGGAAACAGGUGCUAAACCGAUACUGAUGUAUGGACUUGCGGUGCAUUAGCUAGUUGGUGAGGUAACGGCUCACCAAGGCCACGAUGCAUAGCCGACCUGAGAGGGUGACCGGCCACACUGGGACUGAGACACGGCCCAGACUCCUACGGGAGGCAGCAGUAGGGAAUAUUCGGCAAUGGACGAAAGGCUGACCGAGCAACGCCGCGUGAGUGAAGAAGGUUUUAGGAUCGUAAAGCUCUGUUAUUAGGGAAGCGGUAGCUAACCAGAAAGCCACGGCUAACUACGUGCCAGCAGCCGCGGUAAUUC
rnacentral:rRNA from 1 species